AGGGGGAUAACUACUGGAAACGGUAGCUAAUACCGCAUAACGUCUUCGGACCAAAGUGGGGGACCUUCGGGCCUCACACCAUCGGAUGUGCCCAGGUGGGAUUAGCUAGUAGGUGGGGUAAUGGCUCACCUAGGCGACGAUCCCUAGCUGGUCUGAGAGGAUGACCAGCCACACUGGAACUGAGACACGGUCCAGACUCCUACGGGAGGCAGCAGUGGGGAAUAUUGCACAAUGGGCGCAAGCCUGAUGCAGCCAUGCCGCGUGUAUGAAGAAGGCCUUCGGGUUGUAAAGUACUUUCAGUGGGGAGGAAGGCGAUGAGGUUAAUAGCCUCGUCGAUUGACGUUACCCGCAGAAGAAGCACCGGCUAACUCCGUGCCAGCAGCCGCGGUAAUACGGAGGGUGCAAGCGUUAAUCGGAAUUACUGGGCGUAAAGCGCACGCAGGCGGUCUGUCAAGUCGGAUGUGAAAUCCCCGGGCUCAACCUGGGAACUGCAUUCGAAACUGGCAGACUAGAGUCUUGUAGAGGGGGGUAGAAUUCCAGGUGUAGCGGUGAAAUGCGUA
rnacentral:rRNA from 1 species